UGAACUGGGNGACUAGAGUGUGUCAGAGGGAGGUAGANUUCCACGUGUAGCAGUGAAAUGCGUAGAGAUGUGGAGGAAUACCGAUGGCGAAGGCAGCNUCCUGGGAUAACACUGACGUUCAUGCCCGAAAGCGUGGGUAGCAAACAGGAUUAGAUACCCUGGUAGUCCACGCCCUAAACGAUGUCGAUUAGCUGUUGGGCAGCAUGACUGCUUAGUAGCGAAGCUAACGCGUGAAAUCGACCGCCUGGGGAGUACGGUCGCAAGAUUAAAACUCAAAGGAAUUGACGGGGACCCGCACAAGCGGUGGAUGAUGUGGAUUAAUUCGAUGCAACGCGAAGAACCUUACCUGGUCUUGACAUGUGCGGAACCCUCCAGAGACGGAGGGGUGCCUUCGGGAGCCGUAACACAGGUGCAGCAUGGCUGUCGUCAGCUCGUGUCGUGAGAUGUUGGGUUAAGUCCCGCAACGAGCGCAACCCUUGUCAUUAGUUGCCAUCAUUAAGUUGGGCACUCUAAUGAGACUGCCGGUGACAAGCCGGAGGAAGGUGGGGAUGACGUCAAGUCCUCAUGGCCCUUAUGACCAGGGCUUCACACGUCAUACAAUGGUCGGUACAGAGGGUAGCCAAGCCGCGAGGUGGAGCCAAUCUCACAAAACCGAUCGUAGUCCGGAUUGCACUCUGCAACUCGAGUGCAUGAAGUCGGAAUCGCUAGUAAUCGCAGGUCAGCAUACUGCGGUGAAUACGUUCCCGGGUCUUGUACACACCGCCCGUCACACCAUGGGAGUGGGGGAUACCAGAAGUAGGUAGGGUAACCGCAAGGAGCCCGCUUACCAC
rnacentral:rRNA from 1 species